GCCCAAGAGAUCGGGAUAACACCUGGAAACAGAUGCUAAUACCGGAUAACAACAGAUGAUGCCUAUCAACUGUUUAAAAGAUGGUUCUGCUAUCACUCUUGGAUGGACCUGCGGUGCAUUAGCUAGUUGGUAGGGUAACGGCCUACCAAGGCGAUGAUGCAUGGCCGAGUUGAGAGACUGAUCGGCCACAUUGGGACUGAGACACGGCCCAAACUCCUACGGGAGGCAGCAGCU
rnacentral:rRNA from 1 species